rnacentral:sRNA from 1 species
ACAUUGACGAGUGUGAGAAUGACUACUACAAUGGGGGCUGUGUCCACGAGUGCAUCAACAUCCCGGGGAACUACAGGUGCACCUGCUUUGAUGGCUUCAUGCUGGCACACGAUGGACACAACUGCCUGGAGACAGGGUCUUGCUAUAUUGCCCAGGCCUCUGGAACUCCUGGGCUCAGGUGAUCUGCCCACCUCGACCUCCCAAAGUGCUGGGAUUACAGGCUUGACCCACCACCUUACCUCAGGCAUUACUUCAGGAAUGCUUCACAAAAGUGGAACCACUGGAUCAAACGAUCAUUUGGUUUUUUAUGGCUUUCUAAAAGGGCUCAGCAAACCUUCUGUUGUGCCAGCUGGUUUGUGGGUGUGUGGUAGAGGACACUGGGUGUCCUGAGUGCUCUGGAACUUUCCCUCUUAAUGGGGUGUUAGCCUUAGACCUGCCUGCCUGUUUUUGUCCAACCCAUGUUGGAUGUCAGAUAAGUUUGUUGUGGAAAACAUCUGUGAGCAUGUAAUUACACCCCGAAUAAAUACCCA